rnacentral:rRNA from 1 species
UACGUAGGGUGCGAGCGUUGUCCGGAAUUAUUGGGCGUAAAGGGCUCGUAGGCGGUCUGUCGCGUCGGGAGUGAAAACUCAGGGCUUAACCCUGAGCCUGCUUCCGAUACGGGCAGACUAGAGGUAUGCAGGGGAGAACGGAAUUCCGUGGUGUAGCGGUGAAAUGCGCAGAUAUCAGGAGGAACACCGGUGGCGAAGGCGGUCUCUGGGCAUUACCUGACGCUGAGGAGCGAAAGUGUGGGGAGCGAACAGG